UGCGCCGUGCUCCCCCCCCCCCACUGGCGGGAGCCAACGGUUUAUCCCGGUCCCGCACCGCCAGCUCCGGGCGCCAUCUUGGGUGCGACUAAAACAACAAGUCCAAAACCCCCGGCGAGUCCCCGCGGCGUCCCCGGGCCGCGCUGCCCUCCCGGACCGUCCCAUCGCGUUACCUGAGGGGGUCCCGUGCGGGCGCCGUGCCCCGGCCGCCGCCGCCGGCCCCGCGGCGGCCCCGAACCCCCCCACCUGUCCUCACCUCACAAUGGUAGCUGCAGAGCGGGAGGGGGGGCGGCCGCCCGGGCCUCAUUAGCAUAAUCUGCCUGGCAACAGGCCGUGGCGCCGCGCGCUGAUUGGCUGAAGCGUCUCCGCCCGCCACGAUGGGGCACAAAACUGCUCCAGGGAGGGCUCGGAGUACCCAGAACAGGACGUCCAUCCCCUCUCCCCUCUGGAUAAUGAGGUGACCCCCCCACAGCUCUCCUGGGCUCCAGGCCGCGAUGCUCCACACCCCGUCAGCCCCAUCUGGCAGCCCCUGGAAAUAAUCCUCAUUCUUACAGCUCAUGUGAUGUUAUCCAGGUGCACCCAAACGUUCUAUAUUCCAGGUGUGCCCAGGCACCUGGCCAGCCUGACCCAAAACAAAGGUGGUUUCUUCAAAGCAGUGGAUUUACACGGUAAAGUUAUGCCACCACUUUGCAUUUCUGUUAUUAUGGAAUUGUUCAACUGUUGCUUUGAACUCCUGUAACCCCAGCCUGCACACAGUGGAAAAAUUCCGGGUUUGAUGGCCUGAGCAUGAGGUUACAGCUCACAAUAAAGGGAUUGCUGCAGUUCCAGCUGAGUGUUCCUGUCUCCUGCAUCAUGGCAGGUUUUCUGCCUUCCUUUUGCAGGGAUCCCUCUGGAGAUUUGUUUCAAGGGUUUUGCUGAUAAGAGUAGAAUUGGUAUUUCCCAGGGCUCUACACUCCCUUUGCUUGGGAAGACUGUCUUUAAAGCCAAUACACUCCAGUGGGAGCUUAGGUUGGAUCUGGGCUCUUCAGUUUUAUCAAAGCAUCCCAGAUUUUGACCCCUGAUUUUCAAAAUACUGAAAAAUUUGCUGCUCGGUGAAUUUGCCUGAAUAAUAGAGGAGCACAGUAAUAACAAGGGCAUUUCUUAAAGCCAAUUUUGAAUAAUUCUGAUUAAGAGAUUUGCCAGCUGCAGGCCCAGCCCCUCAGUAGCCACUUUUUACACUGAAAUACCUUUUCACCACUGUGGUAAGAUUCUCUUGAAAGUUAUUCUUAUUAAAGUACCUCUUAAGGCUGAGGUAUUUAGGAAGGCAAAGGCCAGGAACAGGCCUAAGAUGACAAGGUCAUUUUUCACUCCUCAGAUGAGCUUGAUAAGGUUGAAUUCAUCUCCCUGGUGAGUUCCGUUUCACCCAAAAAUAGCCUAAAAGUUGGCUGAGCAGCUUCACAUCAUCAUGGUUCUCCUCAGCUGCAAAAGGCUAUAAAUGCCCAGAGAAGCUGUGGCUGCCCCAUCCCUGGAAGUGUCCAAGGCCAGGUGGAUGGGGCCUGGAGUAACUUGGGCUAGUGGGAGGUGUCCCUGCCCAUGGCAGGGGGUGGAGCGAGAUGAUCUUUGAGGUCUCUUCCAACCCAAGCCACUCUGUGAUCUUCUGUGUUCAUCUUUAUACUGAAUUCCACAUUCUAGCACCUCUUCUCUUCCUUUUCCUCAUUAAUUUCCUGCAGAACUUCCAGGACACAUGCUGAUAAUGCCUGUUUGCCCUUUUUCCAUGUCUUACCUAGUUUUAUUUUCACCUGUUCACUUUCUCUUUAUAGUGAUUGCAGAAACUGUAGAAAAAAAAUUGUUAAAAUAAUACUCUUUUGUUUAGUAUAGAGCAACUGCAACACAGGAAACCACACUGAAGGUACAAUUAAGACUAAAAGCCAAUCCAGUAUUUCUGUGACACCUGCUGGGAGUUUAUCUGUUUUCACAGUCUUUCACCAGGUUUUCUUUCACAGCUGACAUGUUGGUUGAUAACAGAAAUAGGAAAUAAAGAGGAAUGAAAGAGCCCUGAGCUGUACAGACUGCUGGCUUCUCUCACCAUGAAAUGCUCAAUAGUGAAUUAUGCAAUUGUUGAAAAGCUAUUAGCAAACACUGGAGUUAAAGGUGGAAAAAAGACUUAACAAGUGCAAUAUUUUUCCUUCUCUGAUUUUAAAGAAACAUCUUCCCAACAAAUAGAACAACUUACAUAGCCAUAAACUCAUUUAAAUCUUAUUUUUCAUUGCUGUACCUCUUGGAUACUCCUUUGGUAACUGAUUUCCUGCCCUAUGCCAGAUGCUGUUUUCAUUCACAAUGGAGUAACAGUGCUCUGGGAGUGAUAUCACAGUAUCAUUGCACAGCUCUUAUUGUGACUUCUCAAAUUUAACGUUCUGAAUUAUGCUCUUUGUUGGUUGUGUGGGGAGUUUCAGAUCUAGGGUUUGAUUGAAGUCAGCCUACAAGAAAAAAAAAAGAGAGAACAGAGCCUGGAGAACUUGGACAGUUUGCAAUGUGCAGAAAAACAUGGAAACCAAAGAAGGGCAAAAAGGAAAAAUUUGACUAUUUGAUAUAUUCUUGUAUAGGUGGAGGGAAAGCUUGAAAUAAGACUUGUGUUAAGUCCUUGUUUUUUAGGUUUUGAGGUGGUGCAGGUAUUUAAUUACUGACACUGCCAAGGGAUCUACCCUGUGCUCAUGUUGGAUGAUCCAGAUGAUGCUGGAUCAGCACGUGGUAUUGGCCAGGGGAGACACCUGGCUCAGGGCUGCUCUCAUUUCACCCUCUGGCCACAGCUUCAGCUCUGCACCCAUGUGCUAAAGGAAGUGCACCAAAUACAAAUAAUUUCUAGUUUUUCAUCCAGACCCA